AGGGUGUAAAACGCUGCAGACUUGGUGUUGGGAACCCUUCGGGGGUGCUCAGUGCCGGAGAGAAGUUGUUAAGUCUGCUACUUGGGGAGUACGUCCGCAAGGAUGAAACUUAAAGGAAUUGGCGGGGGAGCACCGCAACGGGAGGAGCGUGCGGUUUAAUUGGAUUCAACGCCGAAAAACUCACCAGCAGCGACUGUUACAUGAAGGUCAGGUUGAUGACCUUACUAGAUUUUUCAGAGAGGAGGUGCAUGGCGUCAGUGACU
rnacentral:rRNA from 1 species